UUAUAUUUAUUUUCCACAACUCUUACAGAUUGGUCUGUUCUGAACUACAUAAUGUUGGUUAUGCGUGUGGCUGAACUCCUCCUAAUUACUGUGAUUACUGUUCUUCUCAUCAGAGCUCGAGGGAACCAGAGACCACCUGAUGACAGCACUGUUUUAAACUCAGUAAGAUGCCGAACUAUGGGGCU